AAACUGUGGUUAAGGAACUCGGCAAAAUACCCCCGUAACUUCGGGAGAAGGGGGGCCAUAGACCGUCAUACCCCAUGCGGGUGGCAGCGGUAGGUGGCCGCAGAGACCAGGGGGAAGCGACUGUUUACUAAAAACACAGGUCCGUGCGAAGUCGUAAGACGAUGUAUACGGACUGACGCCUGCCCGGUGCUGGAACGUUAAGGGGACCGGUUAGUCCGCAAGGGCGAAGCUGAGAACUUAAGCGCCAGUAAACGGCGGUGGUAACUAUAACCAUCCUAAGGUAGCGAAAUUCCUUGUCGGGUAAGUUCCGACCUGCACGAAUGGCGUAACGACUUCCCUACUGUCUCAACCACAGGCCCGGCGAAAUUGCACUACGAGUAAAGAUGCUCGUUACGCGCGGAAGGACGGAAAGACCCCGGGACCUUUACUAUAGCUUGACAUUGGUAUUCGAGUUCGAUUGUGUAGAAUAGGUGGGAGGCUUUGAAGCUGCGACGCCAGUCGUGGUGGAGCCAACUUUGAAAUACCACUCUGUUGAACUUGGGUAUCUAACUUCGGACCGUUAUCCGGUUCAGGGACAGUGUCUGGUGGGUAGUUUAACUGGGGCGGUUGCCUCCUAAAAUGUAACGGAGGCGCCCAAAGGUUCCCUCAACCUGGUUGGCAAUCAGGUGUUGAGUGUAAGUGCACAAGGGAGCUUGACUGUGAGACUGACAGGUCGAGCAGGGACGAAAGUCGGGACUAGUGAUCCGGCACCUGCAUGUGGAAGCGGUGUCGCUCAACGGAUAAAAGGUACCCCGGGGAUAACAGGCUGAUCUUCCCCAAGAGUCCAUAUCGACGGGAUGGUUUGGCACCUCGAUGUCGGCUCGUCGCAUCCUGGGGCUGGAGCAGGUCCCAAGGGUUAGGCUGUUCGCCUAUUAAAGCGGCACGCGAGCUGGGUUUAGAACGUCGUGAGACAGUUCGGUCCCUAUCCUCCGCGCGCGUAGGAGACUUGAGAAGAGCUGUCCCUAGUACGAGAGGACCGGGACGGACGAACCUCUGGUGUGCCAGUUGUCAUGCCAAUGGCACGGCUGGUUGGCCACGUUCGGACGGGACAACCUCUGAAAGCAUCUAAGCGGGAAGCUCACUUCAAGAUGAGGUCUCCCACCCCUUGAGGGUUAAGGCCCCCAGCUAGAUCACUGGGUUGAUAGGCCAGAGGUGUAAGCCUGGCAACAGGUUCAGCUGACUGGUACUAAUAGGCCGAGGACUUGACCA
rnacentral:rRNA from 1 species